CAUAGAAUCCGGCGGAGAAUUCCCGAAAGACAGCUGGGUGUAGCUCUGGGGUUGCAGACAUGAGCAUCGAAAGUGGAAGUGGAGAAGGAAGAAGAGGAAGAGCAAGAAGGAGAGGGCAACAACUUCAUGUUGAGUUCAGCCAAAAAUGGUGACUGGUGUUUUCUUUUAUUCAAACUGAGCAGCAACAACUCUGCAGACCAACAAUAGGGAGUGAAAAACUGCCAAUACAAUAUUGGACCAGAAGAUUAUGCACUCGUCCAAACCGACCACCUCUGAUAUUGAAAGAACUUUCAGGAAAAAUCUUAAAGGAAGCAAAGUAAAAACUAAAGGGAUGGUAGAAGAAGUACCCGAGAAGACCAUACACCUGGGAUUGACCAUGCUCAGAACACUGCAAAUAACUUUGAGUUGAAGCCAGAUGGCACGAGAUAUUACUUUCAGAGAACGUCCCACAGAAGACCCUUGCAAAAUCAAGCCAAGGAUUGGUUAGAGACCUUCCUGCUUGAUAACAUCAAUACUUGGGAGAAGCUGACACAAUAUUUUCUAAAUAAAUACUUUUCAUCAGCUAAGUCAACUAGAUUAAGGUAUGAGAUCGGCUCAUUUUGUCAACAAAAUGAUGAACAACUAUUCGAGUUUCGGAAAAGGUACAAGGAUCUCUUUAAGAGGUGUCCACAUCAAAGAUAUCUUGAUUGGUUGCAAAUCCAAUUGUUUUACCAUGGAUGGACUAGUAACACGAAAUCCAUCUUGAAUGUUACUGCUGUGGGAUCUAUUUUUUAAACAAUAGCCUCAGUAGCUUAUGCUCUUUUAGAAGACAUGGUUGUUACAGGUUAUAAUUGACCCAUUGAAAGAUCAACCACCACCAGAGUAGUUGGUCUAUAUGAAGUUAAUGAGGUAAGUCCUUAAAAGCUCAAUUAGUUUCGCUUACUAAUGCUUUGAGCAAACUGUCAACAGGUGGCCAAAUCGAUAUGUAUCUUCCAUCCAUAGCAACCCAAGCAACUAUGGUAGUUGAGAGGCUUCAUCAAAAAACUUGGGGCAAUGUAAAAUUGAGACAACAUACUUUGUAUGCAGAAUUCAAAGAUAUAAAGGACACCCACAAUAGCAACAAGCAACACAUUACAAUUCAGGUUUGAGAAAUCAUGAAAAUUUCUCCUAUCCUAACAACCGAUACGGAAAAGAAACCAACUAUGUAGGACAUAAUGAUUGACUUCAUUAAGGAGUCAAAGGGUUGAGCCACAACAUUGGAGCAUCUUGUGUAGACGAUGACAAGCAAUAUGUAGAGUAUGACGACCACUGUAUAGAGCUUACAUUACUACAAAAACAGUUUUUCGUGACUUUUUUAAAUGCCAAGUGUCACUUUUCUUGACAUUUUAAAAAACUUCAAGGAAUUCAGUGUGAAGAAUGUUGAUGUUCUCGACUAGGAAAAAAUAUCAAGAACAAUGACACUUGACAUUUUUGAAAUGUUAAGAAUAUUGACGUUCUUGACAAAUAAAAAACGUCAAGAACAUUUUCACUUGAUAUGUGAAAAAUGUCAAGAUAUACUUUACUUGAUACUGAAAAUUUGUCAAGAAUAUAGAUGUUCUUGACAAGAAUAAAAUAUCGAAUACAAGACUUCUUGACAAUUUUCACUUGUCAAAUAUAUUUAUAUCUUGACACGUUUAAAUUGUCAAGUAUUUUUGUGAUUUUUUUUUUAAAAAAA